rnacentral:rRNA from 1 species
CGGGGUGAGUAAUGUCUGGGAAACUGCCUGAUGGAGGGGGAUAACUGCUGGAAACGGUAGCUAAUACCGCAUAACGUCGCAAGACCAAAGAGGGGGACCUUCGGGCCUCUUGCCAUGGAUGUGCCCAGAUGGGAUUAGCUAGUAGGUGGGGUAACGGCUCACCUAGGCGACGAUCCCUAGCUGGUCUGAGAGGAUGACCAGCCACACUGGAACUGAGACACGGUCCAG